UACGUAGGGACCAAGCGUUGUCCGGAAUCAUUGGGCGUAAAGAGCGUGUAGGCGGCUUGUUAAGUCUUGCGUGAAAUCUCGGGGCUCAACCCCGAGCGGUCGUGAGAAACUGGCAGGCUAGAGUGCGGAAGAGGAGAGUGGAAUUCCUGGUGUAGCGGUGAAAUGCGCAGAUAUCAGGAAGAACACCCGUGGCGAAGGCGGCUCUCUGGAACGCAACUGACGCUGAGACGCGAAAGCGUGGGGAGCAAACAGG
rnacentral:rRNA from 1 species